rnacentral:rRNA from 1 species
UACGUAGGGGGCAAGCGUUGUCCGGAUUUAUUGGGCGUAAAGCGCGUGUAGGCGGCCAGGUAGGUCCGUUGUGAAAACUCGAGGCUCAACCUCGAGACGCCGACGGAAACCAUCUGGCUAGAGUCCGGAAGAGGAGAGUGGAAUUCCUGGUGUAGCGGUGAAAUGCGCAGAUAUCAGGAAGAACACCCGUGGCGAAGGCGGCUCUCUGGGACGGUACUGACGCUGAGACGCGAAAGCGUGGGGAGCGAACAGG